UACGUAGGCAGCAAGCGUUGUUCGGAAUUACUGGGCGUAAAGAGCGCGUAGGUGGCGCGGGAAGUCAACGGUGAAAGUUCGGGGCUCAACCCUGAAUCGGCCGUCGAUACUCCCGGGCUCGAGCACUGUAGAGGCAGAUGGAAUUCCGGGUGUAGCGGUGGAAUGCGUAGAGAUCCGGAAGAACACCGGUGGCGAAGGCGGUCUGCUGGGCAGUUGCUGGACACUGAGGCGCGACAGCGUGGGGAGCAAACAGGG
rnacentral:rRNA from 1 species